rnacentral:rRNA from 1 species
AUUGAACGCUGGCGGCAGGCCUAACGCAUGCAAGUCGAACGGUAACAGGAAACAGCUUGCUGUUUCGCUGACGAGUGGCGGACGGGUGAGUAAUGUCUGGGAAACUGCCUGAUGGAGGGGGAUAACUACUGGAAACGGUAGCUAAUACCGCAUAACGUCGCAAGACCAAAGAGGGGGACCUUCGGGCCUCUUUCCAUCGGAUGGGCCCAGAUGGGAUUAGCUAGUAGGUGGGGUAACGGCUCACCUAGGCGACGAUCCCUAGCUGGUCUGAGAGGAUGACCAGCCACACUGGAACUGAGACACGGUCCAGACUCCUACGGGAGGCAGCAGUGGGGAAUAUUGCACAAUGGGCGCAAGCCUGAUGCAGCCAUGCCGCGUGUAUGAAGAAGGCCUUCGGGUUGUAAAGUACUUUCAGCGGGGAGGAAGGGAGUAAAGUUAAUACCUUUGCUCAUUGACGUUACCCGCAGAAGAAGCACCGGCUAACUCCGUGCCAGCAGCCGCAGUAAUAC